GAUGAACGCUAGCGGCAGGCUUAACACAUGCAAGUCGAGGGGUAUUGGUUUUCGGACCAAGAGACCGGCGCACGGGUGCGUAACGCGUAUGCAAUCUACCUUUUGCAGAGGGAUAGCCCAGAGAAAUUUGGAUUAAUACCUCAUAGUAUAGUACUUUGGCAUCAAGGAACUAUUAAAGUCACAACGGCAAAGAUGAGCAUGCGUCCCAUUAGCUAGUUGGUAAGGUAACGGCUUACCAAGGCUACGAUGGGUAGGGGUCCUGAGAGGGAGAUCCCCCACACUGGUACUGAGACACGGACCAGACUCCUACGGGAGGGCAGCAGUGAGGAAUAUUGGACGAAUGGGCGCAAGCCUGAUCCAG
rnacentral:rRNA from 1 species